UACUACGCCACAGCUGUGAACAUAUACCUCCUCUAGAUCGCAGCACGCGUUUCGUGAAGGGGGGAAACCUUCACACAAUCGAUCGAUAUUUCGUGAUUGAUUUUCUUCCAUUGAAAAACCCACAUCUACCCAGUAAAGUUAAGUCGCGCUAGGAGAAGGAGGCUAAGCGUUAUGAGGGGGAAAUCGGCGAGAAAAAGGCAGUGUUAAGGAAUGGGUGGCCUGUUUUAUAUUCAAACUCUAACGUAAAAAAGGCGUGAGCUAAUUGAUGGGUCUAGAAGGAUAUCGCUGGAAACACUAUAAGAUAAUCUUACAUGCCCAUUUCACAAACAUUGCCUCUGAUGGUAGCCUGUGGGACUCUCCUCAAUUGUAACUCUUCAUUUUCCAGCCCAGACUGCAUGCCUCUGCAGGAAACAUGAAAAAUACCUAGUGUACUCACUGCAAAUCAAACACCAGACCUCCUGAUUGCUAGCCAGAUGUGCUGUCUGGUUACACCACUAAGGCAUACAGAGAGGAGGGAGAAAAUACUUUAUAGAGUAUUCAAUUUAUUCAGC